rnacentral:tRNA from 2 species
UUAAUUGAAACCAAAUAAGCGGUUUAUCACUGUUAAUGAUAAUAAUGAGUAAAACUCCGAUUAAA